ACAAGUUAAAAUUUAACCAAAAAGAAAGCAGCAGCACAGAAACGAGGUAAAACAGUCUAUUGAUCUCUCAGUUGCUUUUAUUGGGGUUUCCGUCCCUCUCACUGAGGCCACAACGGCAACAGAACCUGCCAUAACCUCAUCCAGUUCUCACCUCGACACCGGGUACGGUCUCACCCAGCUGGCUCAGACCGUCCGUUAUCUACAACGUCGCUUUCUUACAGCUAAGGUGCCGCCAGUAGGAGAGUCCUGAGGCGACAGGUGUUGCACUUCUAUUCAUCAGCUGGGAAGCAUAAAGAGGAUGGUUGCCAACACUUCGUCGCCUGAGUGUUUUGCCUCCGUGGUGCGAUUUCUGCCUGACCUGUCCCAGUCCUCCGUUGUGGUACUGGCUACUUCCUGGAAUUGGACUGAACCUGACAAGCGGGGCUUCUUUCCUGACACUUAUCCUCUCCCUGGCGGUUUCUCCGGAUUCUCCAGUAAGAGAAUGUUUCGAAGCUACAUCUGACCUAGCUCUGUGUUUAGCAGUGGCACCUUCCCGGAGGGGGACAUCGUCCAAGCUUCUGCUGCCAACAACUUAAUGCUCACCUUAUACAGAUGAUACACUUUGCACUGUCU